rnacentral:rRNA from 1 species
AACGAACGCUGGCGGCGUGCUUAACACAUGCAAGUCGAACGGAAACGCCCGGUUUGGAGUGGCCGCGAGUGGCGAACGGGUGAGUAAUGCGUUGGUGAUCGGCCCGGCACGUCGGGAUAAGCGUGGGAAACUGGGUCUAUUACCGGAUCGAAGCCAUCUUGAGUGUGGGGGUUGGAAAGUUUUUUCGGUGUAGGAUUAGCUGGCGGCCUAUCAGCUUGUUGGUGGGGUAAUGGCCUACCAAGGCGGCGACGCGUAGCUGGACUGAGAGGGUGACCAGCCACAUUGGGACUGAGAUACGGCCCAGACGCAGACUGGAGGCAGAAGUGGGGAAGAGUGAUCAAGGGGCGCAAGCCUGAGGAAGAGACGCCGCGGGGGGGAUGAAGGUUUUGGGGUUGGAGACUUCUUUCGCUAUGAACGAAGCUGUUUGUGACGGUACCGGGAGAAGAAGCACCGGCUAACUACGUG